rnacentral:rRNA from 1 species
AAACUUUCAACAACGGAUCUCUUGGUUCUGGCAUCGAUGAAGAACGCAGCGAAAUGCGAUAAGUAAUGUGAAUUGCAGAAUUCAGUGAAUCAUCGAAUCUUUGAACGCACAUUGCGCCCAUUAGUAUUCUAGUGGGCAUGCCUGUUCGAGCGUCAUUUCAACCCCUAAGCACAGCUUAUUGUUGGGAGACUGCGGUAAAACGCAGCUCCUCAAAGUCAGUGGCGGAGAGACAGUGUCCUCUGAGCGUAGUAUUAUUUUCUCGCUUUUGUCAGGUGCUGCCCCCCUUGCCAUAAAACACCCAAUUUCUAAUG